GUAUAGCCAUGAGGCAAAAAAGACAGCUGAAGCGGAAGAGUGUGGUGAAAACAUGGUGCUGCCGCGGCCAGCAGGUUUCCAAGCAGGGAUUCGGGUAGCAGGAAGGCUUUGGGGGAUGACUGAAGCUAUCACCUUGCUAAUCCUUGCUGUCCAAACUGGCCUCAUUGAGCUGCAGGAGUUUGUGGAAGCACUUCCGUGCAGUUUCUCUCUGUCUCUUCCUGCUGAUCUUUCCAGCGUACAUGGCUUAUAUGAUCUGCCAGUUCUUCCACAUGGACUUCUGGCUUCUCAUCAUCAUCUCCUCCUCAAUCCUCACCUCUCUCCAGG